rnacentral:lncRNA from 1 species
AGAAGGAGGCCAGGAGUUGUGAGUUUCCAAGCCCCAGCUCACUCUGACCACUUCUCUGCCUGCCCAGCAUCAUGAAGGGCCUUGCAGCUGCCCUCCUUGUCCUCGUCUGCACCAUGGCCCUCUGCUCCUGUGCACAAGUUGGUACCAACAAAGAGCUCUGCUGCCUCGUCUAUACCUCCUGGCAGAUUCCACAAAAGUUCAUAGUUGACUAUUCUGAAACCAGCCCCCAGUGCCCCAAGCCAGGUGUCAUCCUCCUAACCAAGAGAGGCCGGCAGAUCUGUGCUGACCCCAAUAAGAAGUGGGUCCAGAAAUACAUCAGCGACCUGAAGCUGAAUGCCUGAGGGGCCUGGAAGCUGCGAGGGCCCAGUGAACUUGGUGGGCCCAGGAGGGAACAGGAGCCUGAGCCAGGGCAAUGGCCCUGCCACCCUGGAGGCUACCUCUUCUAAGAGUCCCAUCUGCUAUGCCCAGCCACAUUAACUAACUUUAAUCUUAGUUUAUGCAUCAUAUUUCAUUUUGAAAUUGAUUUCUAUUGUUGAGCUGCAUUAUGAAAUUAGUAUUUUCUCUGACAUCUCAUGACAUUGUCUUUAUCAUCCUUUCCCCUUUCCCUUCAACUCUUCGUACAUUCAAUGCAUGGAUCAAUCAGUGUGAUUAGCUUUCUCAGCAGACAUUGUGCCAUAUGUAUCAAAUGACAAAUCUUUAUUGAAUGGUUUUGCUCAGCACCACCUUUUAAUAUAUUGGCAGUACUUAUUAUAUAAAAGGUAAACCAGCAUUCUCACUGUGACGACUCUGUUGAUUUUGUUUCACUAAUCGGAAUCACAGACUGAGAGGAAUUCUGGGGGAGGAGUAGGGAAAUAUGAAAAGGGGCAGAAACAGCAAGAUAGGGACCAAGUACUUCUACAGUCAUACCAGACAUUUCCCUGGAGAUACUUUCCUGAAAAGUUGAAACAGACACCAUUAGUUUAUAAACCAUAUUGUAACUGAAAUGUGAUAGAAAAAUUUUCUACUUAAAUGAAUAUCAAGAUGACGCUGCAAUGCAUAUUUACGCACACAAGCUCAUUUUCAUAAAUGAAGCUUUCCUCAGAAUGAUGGCUAACAUCUGUUGAGGUCUUACCAAGUGCUGGGUUUUGGGCUAAGUACUUAUAUUAGUAAAAGUCUAGCAAAUACUGCCCAUAGUCUAGCAAGGACUCCUUACCUGGAAGUUGCUGAAAGCCUUGAGCAAGUUUGCCAACCUGUAUCUUAAUUCAUCUUUGUGGCCAGAGAAGUGGAUUUACUGAUUUGUUUCAGCUGAUCAAUGUCUAUAACAAGCAAUGUUGAUGGGCUGAAAACCACACAGACUACCAGAGGGGUUGCUUUUCCGAAGAAUCAUGUAAGGAUAAAAGAGAAAGAAAGAGAGAAAGACCUUGGAACCCAACUAGUAUCUACCAAAUAGACAGGAUCUCACUGUGUUGCCCAGGCUGGUCGCCAACUCCUGGCCUCAAGUGUUCCUCUGGCCCUGGCCUCCCAAAGCACUGGGAUUACAGGGGCAGCUCUUCCCUGGUUCCCUGCAGACCCCAGGUCAGGCCAGAAAACACCUCUAUGGCCCUUCCCUGUGUCCCACCACCAGAUAGGACCUCAAAGGCCUGGGGUCCCCAGGAUGGCCCUCAAACCGACUGGUGCCCUUGCAGGCUGCCACCCUCCAAGUCCUGCUUCUCUCCAGAGAUGGGCAGAAGCACCAGCCCUCGCCUGGCACCAGCAGUGAGUCUCAUAAUUGCCAUUUACCAUUUUGCUAGGGGGGCUUCUGGGGGUCCUAGGAAAAGCAGCAGAUGCCUGGGUGCUUGGGGACCUGGGCAUUCUGAGGGAAGGAGCAGCGUGACCCUGAGUCAUUUUUCACUGGGGACAAGUGAGCCAACUCCUUCUACCCAGUGAUAAAAUCAGAAGGAAGUAGAUGGAGACAGCACUGUUCAGGGGAUGAUUUGGGGAUGAGAAGAACUGGCAGGAAGUUGGAGAUUUGGGGGUGAGAAGAACCAGCAGGAAGUUGGGGAUUUCUUGUUUCCCCACUUUUCCCUUCCAUUUCUGUUUGAGCCUUAGGUUUGGCCUCCAUCUCCCUCUGUAGAAAUUGCAGCUAGUUAGAUAGUCUGCCUCUUAUUCCAGCUCUACUGGGGGAACAUAAUAUGGUCUAAGAAGAAAUUUUUCCAGCAAGAGGCCAUCUCUGCAAAUCACCUGUGAGGCAGACCUGUGGCAAUUUUAUGACUCAGCUGGCCACCAGGAAGCGAUUGUAGCUGGGUUCUGCCCCUUAUUGAAACCUACUCAAUGUUCUCCUUCACUAAGUAGGACAAGACCGUACCCUGCCUUUAAGGUUUAUAGAAUAGAAAGUGAAAACACUUUGGGGAAGAAAAUCUUCCUGAACAGAUAGCCCAGGGCAUUUUGAAAAUCCCUUAGGAAGUUCUCUGUUUCACUUGGGUACCUCUGUCCCUGGACUUUGGCGAUGUGGUUUGACCCCAGCCAGAGAGUGCAGGGAACAACAGCAAAAGGCAGGACAAAGACUGACUCGUGAGAGGAGGCCCAGGAACAGGGGGGCAUCGUGAGAGAGGAGGACGUGAGGGCCCAAGAGUGUGAGCAGAAGAGGAUAGGACUUGGGCACUCAGUCACCAGCUGUGGGGUCUGAGCUGUGUCCCCUUCUCUAAAGAGGUAAGCCCUGAGUCAUGGGAAGAUGGAAACCGGGGCUCAUGAGACAGGAUGUUUUUUAAGCACCGUGGUGUCUUGUUGACUUGCACAUGCAAGGGGGUCUUGGGUAACCACAGGGCUCAGGGUAUUUGCAGGAACAGUUCAAGUGCUCACUUGUCUUGGGGCUGUUUGUGGGGAAGUGGUUUCCACAGCAACAGGAGGUGAGAUAUUGGUGUUACCCCAGACCACACUUAGCUACUUCCUUCUCACUAAAGCUCUGUAGUCAUAUUUUCCCUGGCAGAGCAGAAACUUCUCUGUUAUCCCACAGCUGUUCUAACGGUGUAGACUUGACUUAUGCAAUGAUGCCAGGAGUCCUGAGCAGCACAGCCCAACUUCAAUCACACACAGAUGGACAGAGCUGUAUUAGCAAAGCCUGAGCUACUGAGCGAUGAGAGUACAGCCAGGCUUUCAGACAUCUGUUCAUUCAAGAGAGAUAUGCGCUAAGCCAAGGACCUAAAGAUGUGUUUAAUAUGGGUGCUAAUAUGCAUAAGGAACCUUGAAAUAAAUGUUCUUAGCCUUUGGCCAAGAGGGUCCAUGUCUAGGAAUCUAUUCUCCAUAGAAAUAAAUUCAAAUAUGGAAAAAAUGAACAAUGCAUAAGUGUAUUUGGUCCCCAGCAUAUUUAUAGCAACUUAAAAUUGGACCCAAUUUAAAUUGCCUAUGAUAUGGAAAUGGCUAAGAAAAUUAUGGGAUCUUCCCUUGAUUGGCUAUUAGGCAGCCUUUACAAACAAUGCAGUGACAUGAGAAAUGCUUAUGUUAUGGUAAGCUUAAAAAACUCAAGAUGCAAAUCAGCUUAUUUUAAUCAGGAGCCACCUAGCAUUUGGGAUGUGGUCAAUCCCACAUAAUGUAUUUUUGUGGGUGCAGUUCCCAGGAAAGAGGAGGAAUAAAAACGGCAAGUAUGAAGUGUCUCCUUCGCUUGCAGUCUCCUUGUCUACCCCUUUGUCCAUCCACUAUGAAAGGACUCCCUUCUGUUCCUUAAUAUGGACAAUUUCUAUUGAGGACUCAUUGUUCUAAGAAUUGUCUCAUCUCCUCCUGCAUCCUCAGUGCCCGAUCUUUGGCUUCUAUGAAGGAAGGUGGGUAGUGCUUAUGGCAGGGCCAGUUCUACCUUUCUCAGUAUGUUCUGGAGUGGGUAUGUAGCCCCAUUUUCUAGUGGUUACCUUGACAUCAUGAAGAGUUUAUGUCUCUUUUGCCCUAGAUUUGGGCAAUAGUCAUUCAUUGGGCAACUGGAAAUAACACAAGUCAGCAUCUCAUUAAAAAUAAAGUCAUUCAGGAAAGUGGACGACUAAUAGUUUCUAAUCUAGAGAGCAUAGGAGAAGAAAUGUUUACCACACACAAAGUAUUAGUGCCUUUUAUAUCAUCAAGACAAAAAUAACAGGAAAAAGACAAACACAUUAUAGUGAAAACUUGUUUUUCCUGACCAGCAUCUAUUCUGCAUGUUCCCUGAUGCCAGAAACUCACAUUUCUUCAGGGCAAACCCCCUUCCCCACCAUUCUCAGGCUUUAAGUUUAUGUAAAAUUCAGUAAACCCAAAGAUUCAAGUUAUGUGCCUUGAUUAACUUAAGCAAAUCAAUGAAACCCAUCCCCAUAACCACAGCGACUGGUUAGGAAUUCGGUUCCUAAGUCAGUCAAAUCCAAAAGGGCCUAGUGAUGUUUUUUCCAAUGGGAACACAGACUCACUCUUCCCUGCAGAAAAUGAACAAGGAUUCAUGUACACUGGCAGGUACUGGCAGCCACCCAGGGCCUCUCACAGGAAAGGGAGAUCAGAAAGAGAAGCAAAGAGGACUCAUGAGAUACCACAGGGCCGCUGCGUCCAGCCUUGCCUGGAGCUAGGGCCACCUCGAUGCCCUAUAGUCUUGGAGCCACAAGGUGCAUUUACUCAAAGCCUCUUUGAGUUUGGUUUGCUUGUUUGCUUUCUGCCUGGAAACUGCCAGCAUCCUGAGAGAUACGAGAUCUGCAUCUGUGCAGAGACACAGGGUUUGUUAAAAGUCACAGGCCCUGACUGAAGUGUGGAACUGGCUGAAAUGAGAAAGUAGGAGGUAAUUUGGUGAGGACCUUGUGAAAUGGAAGUGAGUUUUAAACCUUACAUGCAUCAGAAUUACCUGGAGCCUUGUGAAAACACAGGUUGCUGGGCCCUAGUCUAUUAAGAAAGGAAGUGGGGCUCAGAAUAUGCCUUUCUCCCAAGUUCCCAGGUGAUAUUCACCAUGCUGUCCUGUCUGGGCACUACCUUUUGCCAUACCCAUUACAAGGUAUUGCACGUGCUGGUUGAACUAUGGUCUGUCUUAUUUUGGUGCUAAAAGCCUGUGCCAAAUACCAAGGCUGCAGCAUUAAGGAAUUUGUUAGAAAAGAUUCUGAAUAUUGGAAUUUAGUUGCUGUGUAUUAUAUCAGUAAGGUCCUUUAAGAAAGAGUUUAGGCUACUUUGAAAUGGGCUCAUCUGAAAUUGAAAAAGAAGAAAUGCGACUUGCUAAAAAGGCCCUUCCAGCCUGUUGACUGAGAAUCCAGUAAUCUGAAGACUGAAAGGGCUGUAAAUGCAGGAUUUUCUACUCUAAGAUAAAGUUAGCAUGAGCAGAGACAGGAAGAUGAGAGACAUAAUGAGGCCAAGCGUCAAAUAUUCAUCACCUCCACAUGGGCCAAGAUGCAGGCAGAGGUCUCUCACCAGGGGCUGGGAGGUCGGGGUGACAAUGGUAGUGCAGUCUGUGCUAGAAAGUGCACAUCCCCAGCUGGGCGCAGUGGCUCACGCCUGUAAGCUCAGCACUUUGGGAGGCCAAUGCUGGCGGAUCAUGAGGUCAGGAGUUAGAGGCCAGCCUGGCCAACAUGGUGAAACCCUAUCUCUACUAAAAAUAUAAAAACUUAGCUGGGUGUGGUGGCGGGCACCUGUAAUUCAGCUACUUGGGAGGCUGAGGCAGGAGAAUCGCUUGAACCCGGAAGGCGGAGGUUACAGUGAGCCGCGAUCACGCCACUGCACUCUAGCCUGGGUGAUAGUGGGAGACUCCAUCUCAAAAAAAAAAAAAAAAAAAGAAAAAAGAAAAUGCACAUCCCCAACCCCAGUUAAAAUGCAAAUGCAAACUAUGUAACUGACAACCUGUCUGCUUCUGGCUACCUGGCCCAUGGAAUUGAUCAGAAGCAAAUAGUAGCCUACAGACAUUAGAAGGGAGUCACAUUGCCAAAGAAACCAUAAGACUGGUUCCAAAAAGUUGCUGAUUGCACAAUACCUAAGGCAACCUCAGGCUAACUCACACAGACAGGAAGUCAGCAGCCUCCAGAAAGCAGAUCCUCCACAUUGCACAUCUCAGAUUGUCCAUAGAGGACAUUCUCCCAGGGAGGAGAGCUAGGGACUGCCAGAUCAGCUGAACUGCUUAAAAAUGCAGUACCCAUUCUCCAGUUCCCUAUCAGGGGUCUUUGUUCAACUUACUGUUUGUUCAUAACACUUGUAUUUAGGGAAUGUUGGGCAUGAUUAAACUUCGUUUAGCUUUGGGUUUCUAGACCUUGAGAAACAAUUCAGUGCAGGCAAAUAUUGUAUGCCCCUAUAUUUUUUCCUGAAAGCCAAUAAAGAAGGAAUGAUGACACCUUCACUGCGUCUAUGGGGACAAAAGCUGCUUGUGUGUGUGUGUGUGUGUGUGUGUGUGUGUGUGUGCGUGUGUGUGUGUGAGAGAGAGAGAGAGAGAGAGAAACAGCCUUGUCAAAAAGACGUGUUUGUUGCUGUACCCUCAUUAUAUGAAAGCCAUCAUGGCAUCAAAACAGUAUAAGCCAGGUUGAGCUCUAUCCUCUCUGCAUCAACUCAGAAUCCCUACCAGAAAGUGGUUGUGAUGGAUGGAAUAUCACCCAUCAAAGAAUAGGGUAAGAUGAGACCAGAGAGGUAAGCUAUGCAAGCUAAUCAGAAAAUAACUCAAAGUUUUAAAAGUGCAGAAUAUAAAAAGGAAAAACCCUCAUUCCUAAAAAAAAAAAAAAGCCUCAUUUCCUCAAAGAAAUCAGUUAGCUAUUUGAUGUGUAUCUUUCCAAAUAUUUGCCUAUGUAAAUAUAUAUGUAUAUAUGGCAUUUAAAAAUAAAACAAAAUAAUAUACUUUACAGAUAGUUCCAUAGCAUAUGUAGAGAAUAUAUAUGCAUAUACUGAAUGUAAUUAGGUCUGCCUUUUACAUAUAAUAUUAUGGACACUUUCCACAGUUAUAGAUGUGUGCUACUUUUUUUUUACUGACUUCAGAAUAUUCCACUGAUGGACAUCUUAAUCCUCUACUGAUUAAUCCCCUACUGAUGACUGUUUGCAUUUCUUUGCUGUUUGCCAACCACACUGCAAAGAAUAUCCUCAUGUCUACAUAUCUUAUCUUUUGGCAGUGUUUCUAUGAAGCAGAUUCCUAGAAAUGGGAUCAGGUCAAAUGGGAUGUAGUUCACAUAGUAUAUGCAUUUUAAUAUUUGCUAAGUAGUAGUGUUUAUGCUUUAAAGAGUUGGAACACUACAAUUCUAAACAUGUUUGGACACAAAAAAUAGAUUAUUUGAAACAAAAUGAAAUAAGCAUAGCUCGUAAAAAUUAACACGUUUGGUUUUCACACAAAUAUUUUGAAUUUCUCUUUCUUCUGCAAAAAGGACCCUAGCUUAGUAUGGAUUUCUUGUACAGAUAAUGCAAACAAUCCAUCUAUUAAAUAACUUACCUUUCACAGUAAACCUAUAGACAGCAUCCUGCUCCACACAGAAGCUGAUUGUCUUUUCCUUCUCUAACAUUAGCUAUUUAUUUUGUAGAGUGUAGAUUCUAGAGAAAUAAUGUAUAAUACACCUGUUGCCAUAUGCAGAGACUUACCACAUUUAGAAAACAGUGGUGAAUUCUAUUGACAGUGGCUCUCAGUCAUUAACAUGCUAUGGAACACCUCAUGAGCUUGAUAAAAAUAUCAGUUCCCAGGUCUACACUUAAAGAUCCUAUUUAAGUGGCUUCAACAAUCACUGCUCAAACACUCUAUGUCAACUCAGAAUCCUGACAGGAAGUGGUUGCAAUGGAUAAAGUAUCAUCUGUUAAAGAAUGGGGUAAGAUUUGAGUAUAGGCGGGUCAUACUUUGGGAAAUAACUUGGUCAAUGGUUAACAGCAUAGUCUGUAGUUCAAUAAAAGUCCAGUUUUGGAACACAAUUGACCGUUUACGUGCUGUGUAACCUCAGCCAAGUUGUCUAACCUUUCUGAGCCCUGGGUUACUUUUCUGUCAAGUGGAGGUAUUAAUAGUACCUAAGCUGUACUAUUGCAUUGGUAAGAUUAAAUGAGCAAUGUAUAAAAAGCGCUCAGUAGGAGGAGUAAGCCUCAACAAUGUAAAUAAUUGCUAUUAAGAGCUUGAUUCAUCAUGAAUAUGCCCUACAGAAUACUAUGCUUAAUGGUGGCCAUUCGAGUAGUGAAUUCUCCUAGAGCAUGCAUGUUAUGAUUUGAGUUAUAACAUAUUCGUAGUUUCAAUGUUCCAGAACUGUGUCUCCGUUGUAAAGUGGAUAACUCUGUGGUAGCCCUCCCCAUCUCUCCCAAUUUCCCUCCAUUUCACCUCUUCCUAAUCUUUGCCUAUGAUUCCUCUUAACCAGUGAUUUUGAUUUGCCAGAAAAACAAAACCAAACUCAAUACUGGUUUACCUUUUAAAAGAG